CCUACGGGGUGCAGCAGUAGGGAAUUUUCGUCAAUGGGCGCAAGCCUGAACGAGCAAUGCCGCGUGAACGAGGAAGGUCUUCGGAUCGUAAAGUUCUGUUGAAGGGGAAAAAGAGCGGAGAGAGGAAAUGGUCUCCGAUUGAUAUUACCCUUCGAGGAAGUCACGGCUAACUACGUGCCAGCAGCCGCGGUAAUACGUAGGUGGCGAGCGUUAUCCGGAAUGAUUGGGCGUAAAGGGUGCGUAGGCGGCCUGCUAAGUCGGGGGUGAAAGGUACCGGCUCAACCGGUACAGGCUCUGGAAACUGGCGGGCUAGAGAGCAGGAGAGGGCGGUGGAACUCCAUGUGUAGCGGUAAAAUGCGUAGAUAUAUGGAAGAACACCAGUGGCGAAGGCGGCCGCCUGGCCUGUUACUGACGCUGAGGCACGAAAGCGUGGGGAGCAAAUAGGAUUAGAUACCCCAGUAGUC
rnacentral:rRNA from 1 species